CCUUUCGAAAGAAAGAUUAAUACCGGAUGGCAUAGUUUUCCCGCAUGGGAUAAUUAUUAAAGAAUUUCGGUUGUCGAUGGGGAUGCGUUCCAUUAGGCAGUUGGCGGGGUAACGGCCCACCAAACCUACGAUGGAUAGGGGUUCUGAGAGGAAGGUCCCCCACAUUGGAACUGAGACACGGUCCAAACUCCUACGGGAGGCAGCAGUGAGGAAUAUUGGUCAAUGGACGAGAGUCUGAACCAGCCAAGUAGCGUGAAGGAUGACUGCCCUAUGGGUUGUAAACUUCUUUUAUACGGGAAUAAAGUGAGCCACGUGUGGCUUUUUGUAUGUACCGUAUGAAUAAGGAUCGGCUAACUCCGUGCCAGCAGCCGCGGUAAUACGGAGGAUUCGAGCGUUAUCCGGAUUUAUUGGGUUUAAAGGGAGCGUAGGCGGGUUGUUAAGUCAGUUGUGAAAGUUUGCGGCUCAACCGUAAAAUUGCAGUUGAUACUGGCGACCUUGAGUGCAACAGAGGUAGGCGGAAUUCGUGGUGUAGCGGUGAAAUGCUUAGAUAUCACGAAGAACUCCGAUUGCGUAG
rnacentral:rRNA from 1 species